CAGAGUUAAGUUAGGGUUUUUCAAAAUGCUGACACGCCGAGCUCAAAAGGUUCACCAUCACUGGUCUAGGGGAUGGUGGCAGGACCCAGAAGUUGACCUGGGCUAAGAUGUUUAUUUUGGGUAUUCCUAGACUUAAAUAUCUCAAAUUACAUUUUAAGUCCUUCUGCUGCUCUGUAACCACUUAAUUAUCCUGCAAGUAAGGGGGGCCCGAAUAGAAAAACUGGAGGACAUUCUCAUUUAAGUCCCACCUUUCAACCAACCACAAAUCUUCUCUGGCUCGCUCCCUCCCCUCCCAUUUCUGCUUCUAGGCUCAGGAAGGAAGAUCAGCAGAUCUUGGCAACAGGCCAGGUGACCCCGGGACAAGAGAGUCCUCUCUAGGAUCUGGAAAUUUGUUCCCUGCAUGUGGGUUGCACAUGGAAGCGUUGUCUCUGCCUUUUUCAAAGGGUCCAUCUAUGCUGUUGCAAAAGGCAAAGACCGUGUCUCUUAAGCCGAGAAAGCAGAACGAGAAUCUUCCCUGUCCUCCUAGCAUCCAGAUGGGGCUCCAGGAGGGUUGUGGCGCCCAGGCAGCCUCUUCCACGCAAGUCCCAGUCAUGCUGACAUGCAAGCCUGUCUGCAGUGUCGCUGAGCCAGCUGUUGUUCCCUCCACCCAGUAGCCAUCCUGAUGAGUGUGAACCUGUUCUUUAUCAGGAGGCUGUAUUUCUGGAACGGCUUAGCGUGAUCUCUAAUUAUCCACUGGAAUUGAGCAAUGGGGAAAGCAGGGCACCAUGCUUCGGGCAGAUGACCUGGUAACCUCGACAGAGAGCUAUCCUCAUUCUGUCCUUGACUUUGUGACUCUGGGCAAGUUGCGCCACCUCCGAGUUUCCACCGCCCACUGGGGACCGGGCCUUCUCGACGACAGUCUCCUCCCUCCUCUGCCCUGAUGUUUCUUCCUGGAAAAGACAGGAAGCGAGAGAUGGGAAAUGACUUGUUAGGUAUGCGUCUUAAUCUCAGUAGCCAUCACCCCAGUGAUUAUUUUUUUUCUUUCUGUUAUAACAAUAAUUCAUGCUUAGUUUUUGAAAGUAAGAUAACUCAGAAAAGCAUGAGAAGCAAGGAAGUAUUUGUCUAUUAUUUUGUCACCCGGAGGCAACCACUGAUAACAUUGUGGCCUGUUUCUUGUAGUUUGUUUUUUAAGUGAGGCAGACUUUUCUCAUCCUUGAGAGUCCCUCUUUCUCUAAAGAAGAACUCCUUUCACAGCAGUCGGUAACAAAAUUAACUGAGCUCUCAAUUUCUUAAAUAUAUCUUUCUUUGUGCUAUUCACUCCUUCGGUGUGUCACUGUGAGUGAAAAGCCAUUAAUUACAGUGGAAAUGCUGCUUGGAGACAGCUUAUGAAAUUAUGUUAAUAUGUAUUGAGAGAAAGAAAGGAAGGGGAAAGGGAGCUGAUGGGCAAAACAACCAGCCCAUUUAAAUGGAUAAUUUUCUCUCCUUUCAAGUUUCAGAGUUGAGGGUCACUAUAUUUCUGAAAGGACUAGAAAGCGAUGAUUGUAGUUUUAUUUUGUCAAAAUCAGUAAAACUCGACUGAAAAGCAAAGUUGAUAAACUAGCAAAAAGAAUGACUUUGGUAAAUGUAAUGUAAAACUUUUUUUAACACACAUAUAUCGGUUCAGGAAAAAAGAAAUUUUCAUGAGAAUCUGCAGAUUUAUAGGUGGAGUGUGGAGAGCUCUAAGUGUAAAAGGCAACCUCCUAAGGAUUUCUGGCCUGGGGAAACGAUGUUUGGAGAUGCUUCACCUGGCAUUGUCUAAAGCAAGCAUGUCAAACUCAAAGGCUAACACGGGCCAAAUUAACGAGGCAUGAGGCCCACCGGCUGUGAGUUUGACAUGCUUGGUCUAAAGCAGGGGUGGACAAACUUUUUGACUCGAGGGCCACAAUGGGUUCUUAAACUGGACCGGAGGGCCGGAACAAAAGCAU